rfam:Coniochaeta ligniaria NRRL 30616 unplaced genomic scaffold CONLIGscaffold_4, whole genome shotgun sequence.
GCUUUAAUAGUCGAGUAGUAAGAUUUUAACUUAAUAAGUUAGAGGCUUAGGUUCGAUUUCUAGUUAGAGUA